rfam:Oryza brachyantha chromosome 3, whole genome shotgun sequence.
GUCUCCCUAUGAUGAGUUGCAAUAUUUGUUUUGCCUACAUUGUCUGACAAAAUGUUUUUAUGAUAAUAAUUGCAACAACUGAGGAUUAA